AUACUUACCUGCCGUGGGUCUCUACAUACCAUAAUCACAAAGGGGACUUUCCCAAGGCAAGGCUCAGCCAUUGCAUUCCUGAUGUGCUGACCCUUGCAAUUUCUCCAAAUGUGGCAAACUCAAUGGCAUAAUUUGUUGCAGUUGGGGGAGGGGGCAA
rnacentral:snRNA from 11 species